AUUGAACGCUGGCGGCAGGCCUAACACAUGCAAGUCGAACGGUAACAGGAAACAGCUUGCUGUUUCGCUGACGAGUGGCGGACGGGUGAGUAAUGUCUGGGAAACUGCCUGAUGGAGGGGGAUAACUACUGGAAACGGUAGCUAAUACCGCAUAACGUCGCAAGACCAAAGAGGGGGACCUUCGGGCCUCUUGCCAUCGGAUGUGCCCAGAUGGGAUUAGCUAGUAGGUGGGGUAACGGCUCACCUAGGCGACGAUCCCUAGCUGGUCUGAGAGGAUGACCAGCCACACUGGAACUGAGACACGGUCCAGACUCCUACGGGAGGCAGCAGUGGGGAAUAUUGCACAAUGGGCGCAAGCCUGAUGCAGCCAUGCCGCGUGUAUGAAGAAGGCCUUCGGGUUGUAAAGUACUUUCAGCGGGGAGGAAGGGAGUAAAGUUAAUACCUUUGCUCGUUGACGUUACCCGCAGAAGAAGCACCGGCUAACUCCGUG
rnacentral:rRNA from 1 species